UACGAAGGGGGCUAGCGUUGCUCGGAAUCACUGGGCGUAAAGCGCACGUAGGCGGCUUUCUAAGUCAGGGGUGAAAUCCUGGAGCUCAACUCCAGAACUGCCUUUGAUACUGGGAAGCUCGAGUCCGGAAGAGGUGAGUGGAACUGCGAGUGUAGAGGUGAAAUUCGUAGAUAUUCGCAAGAACACCGAUGGCGAAGGCAGCUCGCUGGGACGGUACUGACGCUGAGGCGCGAAAGCGUGGGGAGCGAACAGG
rnacentral:rRNA from 1 species